rnacentral:rRNA from 1 species
UACGAAGGGGGCUAGCGUUGCUCGGAAUCACUGGGCGUAAAGGGUGCGUAGGCGGGUCUUUAAGUCCGGGGUGAAAUCCUGGAGCUCAACUCCAGAACUGCCUUUGAUACUGAGGAUCUUGAGUUCGGGAGAGGUGAGUGGAACUGCGAGUGUAGAGGUGAAAUUCGUAGAUAUUCGCAAGAACACCAGUGGCGAAGGCGGCUCACUGGCCCGAUACUGACGCUGAGGCGCGAAAGCCAGGGGAGCGAACGGG